GAUGAACGCUGGCGGCGUGCUUAACACAUGCAAGUCGAACGAUGAAGCCCAGCCUGCUGGGCGGAUUAGUGGCGAACGGGUGAGUAACACGUGAGUAACCUGCCCUUGACUCUGGGAUAAGCCCGGGAAACUGGGUCUAAUACCGGAUAGGAGCGCCUGUCGCAUGACGGGUGCUGGAAAGAUUUUUCGGUCAUGGAUGGACUCGCGGCCUAUCAGCUUGUUGGUGAGGUAACGGCUCACCAAGGCGACGACGGGUAGCCGGCCUGAGAGGGUGACCGGCCACACUGGGACUGAGACACGGCCCAGACUCCUACGGGAGGCAGCAGUGGGGAAUAUUGCACAAUGGGCGGAAGCCUGAUGCAGCGAACGCCGCGUGAGGGAA
rnacentral:rRNA from 1 species